UGGGGUAAAGGCACACAAGUGACCGUCACAAAUGAAAUUCCCACAGCACCAGUUGUGUUCAAAAUGUCUCAGUGUAGUUCUUCUACUGAUUCCUUAAUUAUUGGAUGUCUGGCCUCUGAGUUUUCACCUAACAAUUCCGUAAACUUCAGAUGGAGUAGUGAUGGAAACAACAUUACAAAUGUCAUUCAGCAUUCUACAAACAAGUUGAAAUUCAGCUACAUCACCAUUACCAAAGAGCAACAAGACCAAAGUAAAAUAACAUGUACAGCAGAUCAUCCAACAAAAACAGUCAGCGAAACAUUCAGAAAAAAUCAAGCUCCAACCCUGAGUUUGGUUCCUGUACCAACUGAGAAAAAUACAUUUGCCAUGUGUGUUAUUGAGGAUUUCUACCCUCAAACCAUCACUGUACAGUGGAAAGAAAACAACAUUAACAGACAGAACCCAACAAAACUGGAGUACAAAAUGAACAUGGAUGGUCUUUACACAGCUCUCAGUCUUUAUAAAAUAAACGAGAAUGCGAAUGCAAACACUGAGUAUACCUGUGAGGUCUCACACAAAGGACAAACAUUUCAUAAAACACAGAACUUCAAAGCUAAAUUCACACUGAUGCUGAAGCCACCAAUCGAGAGAGAAAUGUUCAUCAAUAACAAAACUGUCUUGCAAGCUGUUCUUUCUGGAGAUGUGCAUAAUGCAGUGAAACAAGCUUCCGUGUCAUGCAAAAUGGCCAAUGUGCCUAUAAAUAUUGAGAGCCAGGAAAAUGUUUCAAAUGACAAAUUACAAUAUGUAAAAAUUCACAAUGUCACUGUUGAUACAGGGAAAUGGCUUAAUGGUGAAAGAGUCACAUGUACCACCAGUAACACGCUUACUGACAUCGAGCAGGAGAUCCAUAUUAAUAAAGGAGGUGGACAGACACCCAGUGUUAAAAUUUACAAACCUGAUAAUUCCAGCACAGCUAGUAUCUCUCAUGUGUGUGAAGUCUCCAGCCCUAACCUCGGUGAUGUAUAUAUCAUGUGGAAAGUGGGCGAUAAGCCUUACACAGAGGGCAAAUCUAUUGGUCCCAUUCAACAACAGGGCUUCACAUCUGUUCUCAGCAUUCUUACAAUCUCGCAAAAAGAGUAUAAGGAUAGCAAAACCAGCAUCACCUGCGCUGUCAAACACGCCUACAUGAAGGAUAAAGCAUCUCCAUUACUAACAUCAACAAGCAAAAUGGAGCCUCCUGAGCCAGAGACAGGUUUUGCUCUUAACUGCAAUGAAGAUGUACUGGAGGAGGACGAAUUCAGAAGUCUCUGGUCCACUGCCACCUCAUUCAUCUUCCUCUUCCUCUUCUCUCUGACCUACAGCGCUGUGCUCAGCCUCUUCAAGAUGAAGCAGUGACGGUUUGUUGUAAGAGUUUGUGAAAACUUCCAACACUUCUAAUUUCUUUUGUAACUUUUCAAAUAUUUUGAAAUUGCAAAAGAAAAAUAUUUCUGUUCACUCUUUUGCUCUGUAAGUUUGACUUUAAAAAAAUGCACGUUUACUGAGAUGUUGAAACUUAACGCCACCCCCUCCCCUUGAAUAUAUUGAUGUAUUGUAUAUGUAAAU